UCCUGUCUUGAAAGGAAGUUGGCGCCGGCCCGACUGGGUUUUUCCAAUUAAGAGCCGCAUCUGAUAAAAGGGUGAAGCCCGUGUACGCGGAAAUUUAACAAGUUUCGACGCGAGGCAUCGUAGCGAGAACACAAAGUUGGUCGCGGAAGUUGCGGGCGCAACGCGCGGUUAUUCAUCGCGUUAAGACACACUCCAUGCCAGGAGAAGAAGUUUCAGACACGCGAGCCGGCCGGAAAGUUGGAAUUGGUCGUGAACGCGUUUAAGAAAUAUGGUCGCGAGCUGUGUGCAACGUUGCGUUUAUCGGCCACCGUUAUCGCACGCGUUACACGACGCGUUUCGUCUUCAUUUCCUUCGAGGAAUAAUACUCGAGGCAACCGUUUAAAUCCUGUUUCCUACUCCCUCGAGGGUGCAAGUGUAUCGAGGGAUCCGCUUUUUCUUUCUUUCUCUUUUUCUUUUUUUCCUUUUUUCGUCGUCCGUACGCAAACGAGGAUCAACGCGUCACGGUAAUUGGCAUCGCGUGUUUCGUAAAUUAUAUAACACGUCGUUGAAUCAUUACCGGACGAUAAUGAGUCUCUUCAUCGGUUAGGCGGUACGGUACAACGUGUAAUUUACCUAAUGCAGUUACGAUACCGUGCAAUCUGCGGCUGAUUGAUGCGCGCCGAAUUUUCGAACCCAGUGCACUUCCACUGUUCUCUCUUCUCGUACGAAAUUUAUCUCGAUUCCCUAUCUACCGUAUAUACACACCGACUUCCGAUGGUAGCCGAGAGGCUUCGCAUUUCCCGAACAGCGCCGAUCUUACCCGAGCGCCGACGUUCGGGCUCGGUCGGCUCGACUCGGCUCGACUCGGCUUCCCGAUGACAAGCGGCGAGUAUCGAGAUUGCGAGGAAUUUUGAAACUUUUCUUACUCGCGUUUCGUAUUUCUUUUUUUUAAAUCUCGCAAUAACUCACGCGAUAACUCGAUAACAAAUAUCGACUCGUUGUUCACCCCGUCGUCCUUCUUACAAAAAUUCAAUUACCCAAAUGAAAAUGCGUCGCGUGACAAAUCCGGAUCGUAAAGUCACGUUUUUACGACUCGGUCUCCAUCUCCUCGCGUUAUUAUCCAUAACGCGAGAUCGAGUUCACACGCCCGCCCGAUUACCCUCCACUACACCUAUCAUCUAUCAUCUCUCCUCGAUCGGUAAUUGAAACGCGUCUAUAUAAUACGUUCGCGCAAGUGCCUCGGAACAAUGGGUCCUCCGCUGUAUACCAUCCGCUGCGAGUGUCGCGCAUCCUCACAUCGGUGGUGUCAUAAUGUGCUACCUUGGAUAAUUGGAUCGGUAGGCAGUCGCCUAUAUCCCGUGGCGGACCAGGCGAAACAGGCAUUAUAUUGGCCGUGGCGAAUCUGUGUACAAAACAGGCUCGUAACUCGAUGGUGUCACGCUUCUUCGCCCUCCAACUUCUCCACUUCCCUCCCCUCGGGACACGCGCUCUUCCCUUCAUCCUUCAUCCAGAGAUCCGUUCCUCGGGGAGGGGAGGAGGGGAGGUUAGGUAACGCGCUCGUGACCCGCGCGAGGUGGGUGGGGCUGUUUUGACUAUCCUAUGGGGGGAGAGAGGCUCGAGCGUGCGAUCCUCGUUGGCCCGAGGAUCGUGUCCGUCUUCGAGAAAGGGGAUGAAAAAUUAAAGACGGCCUGCCGUGGAACGGGCCGUGAAAUUGUCUCGAGAAGAUUUCUCUCGAAACCGAGCCCGAGGAGAAGAAUGGGCCUCUUAAUGCGUCUUUGUCGGGGAAAAUUUAUUGGCUUCGCGCCGGACCAUAUACUCCCUCUCUCUCUCUCUCUCUCUCUCCCUCCCUCUUUCUCCAAGAUUUCUCGAGGAAAAUGGAAAAUAGGAAAAUCGAAGGAAUUGAACUCGAGUGUUCCUUGUAUCGAGGGAUUGUUGGACGUCAUCUCGGGGAGGGAGAGGGAUUGGAUAUCGAAACAAAAAAGGUUGGCCGGUAAUGGCGAUCGAUCGAUCGAUCGAUCCGGCAUUCCUUUCUUCGCGAGAGGGCCACCCCUAUCCAACCAACCGUUUUCACGGACAGAACGCUGUCAGGAAUCACUUAGGCCCUCAGCUCUACGGCUAACAAUGACACCCUCUCGAGAAAUCGGACGCGCGAUUCGAUCCUCCUAACCUCUCUUUCCUCCUGCGUACAACGUCCGACGAAAGUUUUAAAAAAAUUUAUCAAUAACGCUCCGAAGAAGAAGAAGAAGAAGAAGAAAAAGAACAAGUAUCCUCUAUUCUUCUAAAGGCGGACGAUAUCGAUCGAUGAAACAGAAACUGUCGUCGGAAGUUGCUGCGAUCGAAAUGUCGAGAGAUUCCAAGAGUCGCUCUAUCGAUUUUGUAUCGGGUGGAAACUCUCUCUGCCCGGCCACUUAGUCACGAGAUUAGCCCGUCUCGAAAUUCCACGUGUCACCGUGCCGGCUUUCUCUCUCCCUCUACAAGAGAGGAGAGGCGCAUCAUCGGGGAUAGAUGUUGGAACGACGGUUGGAAUGACAGAAACACAGAGGAGGAGGAGGAGGAGGAGGAUGAAAAAGGAAAGAAAAGGCAGAGCAGGAGCACAAUGUUCGUCAGCGGGACAAUGAAGUCAGUCUGUCGAACGAUGGGGCAGAGGACUAUCCGAGUAUCGAUACUAAUCGAUGUACACGCACACCGAGAACCGUGGCCCGUGCGUUUCUUCGAUGCAUACAGUGCAGGUCAAAAGUUUCUGCUCCCCUGUGUCCGUGAAUGUACACGAGUUAUUUCGAUAUAUUACGGCAUUUUAAGUUAGAGUUUCGAGUUACUUCGAUCGAUCGAAAUUAUGACACGUACGUUUUUAAUUCCACGAAGCUUUUAUUAACUCAAUUAUAUAUUUUUAGUGAAAUAAGCUACUUCAUCGGGAUGGAUAAAAUAAAAGUUGCAAUAACUGCAAUGGAAUAAGAAAUGUUGUUAUUUUUAAUAAGUGAAAUAAGCUACUUCAUCGGGAUGGAUGAAAUAAAAGUUGCAAUAACUGCAAUGGAAUAAGAAAUGUUGUUAUUUUUAAUAAGUGAUCGCUUUAUUCGAAAUUUUUA